UACGAAGGGGGCUAGCGUUGCUCGGAAUCGCUGGGCGUAAAGCGCACGUAGGCGGGUCGCUAAGUCGGGGGUGAAAUCCUGGAGCUCAACUCCAGAACUGCCUUCGAUACUGGCGAUCUUUGAGUCCGGGAGAGGUGGGUGGAACUGCGAGUGUAGAGGUGAAAUGCGCAGAUAUCAGGAAGAACACCAAUGGCGAAGGCAGCUCUCUGGGACGGUACUGACGCUGAGACGCGAAAGCGUGGGGAGCGAACAGG
rnacentral:rRNA from 1 species